rnacentral:lncRNA from 1 species
GACAGUUAUAAUGGUUUUAUUUUAGGAAUCAUUUAUUGUGUUUUAUUCCAGUUAUAAAAGUAGUGCAUGCUAAUUACAAUUUGAGAAAUACAGAAAAGCAUAAAUAAAAACAUAGAAAUCACUGCCAUCAAGAGAUAUCUCCACAACAUUUGGAAAGUCUUUUCUUUUUGUUACAAGCAGCAAAUAUACUAUCUAUGUGUAUAUAUUAAACACCACUUUCAAGUCACUUUAACUGUAAAUUAGUGUGACUUUAAUAUCCCUGUCAUAUUUAAAACAUGACUUAAUUGUGUAACAUUCAAAGUUGUUAAUGUGUUGAUCCACUCCCUUAUUAUCAAGUUUAAUUUUUUUAAUUGCACAGAAUGCAAUGAUAAACAUACACAUGUAAUUUAUUAUGAGAAUCUCUUGCUUAUUUCCAUCUGAUAAAAAUCCUACAAGCAGCCGGGCGCGGUGGCUCAUGUUUCAUUUUUAAUAGGAAAAAUCUUUAUUUUUGAGACAGUAUCACUCUGUCGCCCAGGAUGCAGUGCAGUGGCGUGAUCUUGGCUCACUGCAACCUCUGCCUCCCGGAUUCAAGCAAUUCUCCUGCCUCAGCCUCCCCCAUAACUGGGGAUUAUAGGAACACGCUACCACGCCCAGCUAAUUUUUGGAUUUUUAGUAGAGAUGGGGUUUCCCCAUGUUGCUCAGGCUAGUCUCGAACUCCUGACCUCAAGUGAUGCGCCCACCUUGGCCUCUCAAAGUGUUGGGAUUACAGGCGUGAGCCAUCGCACCCAGUCUGAAAAGUCUUUAGAUUAGGAGUAUUCCAGCUGGACACGCGGUUCAAGCCGGUAAUCCAACACUUUGUGAGGCCAAGGCUGGAGGAUCGCUUGAGCCCAGGAGUUCGAGACCAGCCUCUCUACAAAAAAAUAGUAAAUAAACUAGCCUGAGGCAGCGCAGACCUCUCAGGGUGUCCCGAGAUGGGAGGAUCACCUGAGUCCAGCGAGAUCGAGACUGCAGUGUUCGCGCCACUGCACUCCAGCCUGAGCAACAGAGUAAGACCCUGUAUCAAAAACAAACAAACAAAAAGUCUUCUGGUGCAAGGCCUCACUGUAAGGUCCCUGGGUUCAAUGCUCCGCGUUCUGGGAUGUGAAUGUGGAAAAGUAAGUGCCAAGGUGGGUGUCUACCUGAGCUCCGUAAGGACUCGGUACUUAGGAUGCGAGCAUGGCUUUGGGUUCCAUUCCUGACCCUCUGUGGCCUCAGUCUCCUCCCGGGAGAGGAUGAAAAGCACAAGUCGGAUGCACUCUAUAGUGAUCGCUGUGAGAGUCAUUAUGAGUCUUACUCGCUCGACUCCGACAAACUCAAGGCCAAGCUAUGGAGUUCAUCUCAUGCUGACACCGUCAGUUCUGAGCGACUGUAAAAUGGGGACAGGGUGGCCCAGGGGCCUACUGACCUGAGGCUGGGGCCCGCGACAGCCCAGCCGCUGGGGGCUCCUUGUGGCCGCUGCGGGGUCAGCCUGCGGUCUCCGCCUGACUUUAGCUCUCCUGCGCCCCGCAGGUCCUGGGCGCUACCCACGUCAGUGAGUGCUCACAAGUCUGUGAGGUAGGCGGCGCCACAGAGAGAAACUGAGGUGCGGGAGCCCAAGUCACCUGUCCAGCUCCUCAGCCGAGCGUGAACUGCGCUCGGGGAUGGCAUCCACACGGCCCGGCCCCACGCUCUCCCAGUCAGCGCCCGAGGGCCCUUCGCACC